rnacentral:rRNA from 1 species
CCUACGGGAGGCAGCAGUAGGGAAUCUUCCGCAAUGGACGAAAGUCUGACGGAGCAACGCCGCGUGAGUGAUGAAGGCUUUCGGGUCGUAAAACUCUGUUGUUAGGGAAGAACAAGUGCUAGUUGAAUAAGCUGGCACCUUGACGGUACCUAACCAGAAAGCCACGGCUAACUACGUGCCAGCAGCCGCGGUAAUACGUAGGUGGCAAGCGUUAUCCGGAAUUAUUGGGCGUAAAGCGCGCGCAGGUGGUUUCUUAAGUCUGAUGUGAAAGCCCACGGCUCAACCGUGGAGGGUCAUUGGAAACUGGGAGACUUGAGUGCAGAAGAGGAAAGUGGAAUUCCAUGUGUAGCGGUAAAAUGCGUAGAGAUAUGGAGGAACACCAGUGGCGAAGGCGACUUUCUGGUCUGUAACUGACACUGAGGCGCGAAAGCGUGGGGAGCAAACAGGAUUAGAUACCCUGGUAGUCCACGCCGUAAACGAUGAGUGCUAAGUGUUAGAGGGUUUCCGCCCUUUAGUGCUGAAGUUAACGCAUUAAGCACUCCGCCUGGGGAGUACGGCCGCAAGGCUGAAACUCAAAGGAAUU